GAUGAACGCUCGCUACAGGCUUAACACAUGCAAGUCGAGGGGAAACGACAUCGAAAGCUUGCUUUUGAUGGGCGUCGACCGGCGCACGGGUGAGUAACGCGUAUCCAACCUGCCCAUCACUUGGGGAUAACCUUGCGAAAGUAAGACUAAUACCCAAUGAUAUCUCUAGAAGACAUCUGAAAGAGAUUAAAGAUUUAUCGGUGAUGGAUGGGGAUGCGUCUGAUUAGCUUGUUGGCGGGGUAACGGCCCACCAAGGCAACGAUCAAUAGGGGUUCUGAGAGGAAGGUCCCCCACAUUGGAACUGCGGCACGGUCCAAACUCCUACGGGAGGCAGCAGUGAGGAAUAUUGGUCAAUGGGCGAGAGCCUGAACCAGCCAAGUAGCGUGCAGGAAGACGGCCCUAUGGGUUGUAAACUGCUUUUAUAAGGGAAUAAAGUGAGAGUCGUGACUCUUUUUGUAUGUACCUUAUGAAUAAGGACCGGCUAAUUCCGUG
rnacentral:rRNA from 1 species